CUCUGAGUAGCUCAGUUGGAAGAGCGUCAGACUGUAAUGGAAGUUUCUCAUCGUUAUCUGAAUGUCACUGGUUCGAUCCCGGUCUCGGAGA